CAGUAGCCGCGGGAAUACGGAGGAUCCAAGCGUUAUCCGGAAUCAUUGGGUUUAAAGGGUCCGUAGGCGGUCUUGUAAGUCAGUGGUGAAAGCCCAUCGCUCAACGGUGGAACGGCCAUUGAUACUGCAGGACUUGAAUUAUUGGGAAGUAACUAGAAUAUGUAGUGUAGCGGUGAAAUGCUUAGAGAUUACAUGGAAUACCAAUUGCGAAGGCAGGUUACUACCAAUUGAUUGACGCUGAUGGACGAAAGCGUGGGUAGCGAACAGGAUUAGAUACCCCAGUAGUCCCUGUCUCUUAUAC
rnacentral:rRNA from 1 species